rnacentral:rRNA from 1 species
AUUGAACGCUGGCGGCAUGCCUUACACAUGCAAGUCGAACGGCAGCGCGGACUUCGGUCUGGUGGCGCGUGGCGAACGGGUGAGUAAUGUAUCGGAACGUACUUCUCAGUGGUGGAUAACGUAGCGAAAGUUCUGCUAAUACUGCAUAUUCUGUGAGCAGGAAAGCAGGGGAUCGAAAGACCUUGCGCGGAUUGAGCGGCCGAUAUCAGAUUAGCUAGUUGGUGGGGUAAAGGCCUACCAAGCCGACGAUCUGUGGCGGGUCGGCGAGGCAGAUACGCCACACUGGAACUGAGACACGGUCAAGACUCCUACGGGAGGGCGCAGUGGGGAAUUUUGGACAAUGGGGGCAACCCUGGUACAGCCAUGGCGAGUGAGUGAAGGAGGCCUUGGGGUUGUAAAGCCGUUUCGGCGGGGAAGAAAUCGCAUAGGCUAAUACCCAGUGUGGAUGACGGUACCGGAAUAAGAAGCACCGGCUAACUACGUG